CCUGAAAGAUUAUAGGAGGUCCAGCCUGCCCAGUGAUAAAAUUAAACGGCCGCGGUACCCUAACCGUGCGAAGGUAGCGCAAUCACUUGUUCUUUAAAUGAGGACUAGUAUGAACGGCAUCACGAGGAUUAUACUGUCUCCCUUCUUUAAUCAGUGAAACUGAUCCUCCCGUGAAGAAGCGGGAAUAAACAUAUAAGACGAGAAGACCCUAUGGAGCUUUAAACUUAACACCACUUAUCUAAAACACUUCAUAAUAAACAGAUAAGCUUGUGCACAUUUUAGGUUGGGGUGACCGCGGAGUAAAAUUUAACCUCCACGUUGAAAGGCCUUUAUCCUUAUCCAAGAGCCACAUCUCCAAGAAUCAACAAAUUGACAUUUAUUGACCCAAAUUUUUUUGAUCAACGAAC
rnacentral:rRNA from 1 species